rnacentral:lncRNA from 1 species
AUUGUAACUCAAGAUUAUACUCCACACAAACCAAAACAGCACAAGAGAUAGAUGUACAACUUGUGAUUUAUCAUAUCAUCUACAAGGUUUGGACAAACAUCAUUCUCUGGCAAGCUUAAGCAUACUUGAUACUUGUGCUCUCUUUUUUUUUUUCUUUUUUUUUUUGAACAACUCUUGUGCUCUCUCUAUUACAGCAUCUUGUAACAAGAAGAUUGUCUAUCAUACCGUUACAAAAGGUAGAUUUUUUUAACUAAGAAACACACUCCAAAUGAAUACUACACUUGAUCUCACUUGAAAUGCUUAAAGAAGCUUCACAUUCUCAACAUAGUUGAGAUAGGUGUUUAAUCUCCUACCCUGAAGCGCCUCCAUUCCUUGGAUUCCAACUUUUCUGAUCGUCUUGCUCUCCACAUUGUAGUAGAUAACAUAGGAAGGCACGUACUGGAACCAGGGGGCCAAAACGAUUUCAUUUACACCAACCAUUCCAGCAAUACACAUUCUGUCCACAAUAACAUCCUUCCACAGUGGUGGUAAUACGUAAACAUGCUUGGACCACUCAUGUUUUGCAGCAUCUCGAAGAACCCACAGCUUAAAACGUUUACACGUUCGAAAAACAUAACAAGUAUCUUCCGACGACAUAAGCAAACCUAAUCUGUCAUUGUAGUUCACCAGGGUUGUUGACUGAGGCAGUGCUCGUUUCAAUCGCGAGAGAUUCACAAAGCUGAACUUCUCAGUCCCCAAAUCAAAACAAACUACCAUAGAUUCCCGUGAAGAAGACCUAGGUUCUGCAGCUAUAUAGUACAAAACGCCACUGAUGCAUAUCCCCUUACGAGAAGAGUAAUGCGGUAUGCUACAUUCGACCACCCUCCACGACAGUUUCUUGGUUCCUAAUGUCAGAACAUGGUGCUCCGUACCAUCAAACACAGAUAAUACCUUGAACACUUUCGCAACGGGGUCGUAUCCAAGAUAGUUUUCCACUCUAUACCUCUCUUUUGAGUUCAAUCUUGGUAAGGUCAAGGACUGUCCUGUGCUGGGGUUACAUACCACCGUGACAAUCACUGCUUUGUUCUUGCCCUGGUUAGCUCCAUAACAGAAGAAGCCAUUGGUACAACCAAAUAAGCCAUAGGAAGUUGGGAAACGCGCGAGGUGAUUGGCGGCUACAACAUGCGAGUUGUCUUCCGGAUUUUCAGGCUGAGACGACGAGAGGAAGUGAAUCUCGUGGCGGUAAUCAGAGCAGGCGAAAAGAAGCUGAGGGUGAGCGCAAGAUUGGGUCAAGAAGGAGUCUGUGAAAUCUUGGCUGCGGAGCACGGAGGACCAGAGCUUGCAUACGCAACGACAUGUCGCUAUAGACUUCAACGGCAGCCUCAAGAAUAUCUCUGUAACGACCUCGACAGGAAGCGUCAGUGAGUUUCGAUCAAGUCUGGUCGUCGAUCGCGUAACGCGCUGAGAAAUGCUUAGACCACCCUUCUGCCGCUUCAUAGCGAGAUACUUUUAGAACUUCUCUUACUACCCUGAAACAAAAUACAGUUAGCCACAGAUUCUACCAGAUAAACGAUCAAUGUCGAUUUUACAAAUUGCAGAAGAACGAACAUGAGGCACAUUAAUGUUUUCAGCAUUUCUUACCUCGAAUUCACUGGGAGACACUAGGUAAGAACAAUCGUAAAUCGUAGUUAGGGUUUAGAACUAUCCCCAAAAUCAUUUGUCGGGAAUGAUAAAAGAGAGUGAAGUAAUUUUAUAUGGGCCUUUUGUGGGCUUACACAAUAUUUAAAAUGAUGGGUUUACGAUGGGUCUGACCUGAAUUUUAUUAUAAACGUUAAAAACUACAAUGGUCUGGACAAACCAGUAACAUCCGCUGGCCAAAUAAACCGAAUCAGAAAACCCGAACCGAACUCGAUCCGGUAAAAAUAAAUCCGAACCGAUCCGAAGCCGACAUACCGAAAAAAUUUUGUUUUAUAGUAUUUCGGGUUAUGGGUAUUAUUCGAACCGAACCUGAAUUUAAAUGGAAAUAUCCGAUAGAACCUGAAAAAUUCAAAAUAAAAAAAAAAGUUUGUAUCAAACAUUCUCAAUUCCUAAUAUGUAUCUGAAAUAAAAUAAAAUAAAAUAUUAUUGAACAUCUAAAAUAGUUAUUUAUUACAUGAAGAUUGAUGGUUGAAGGUGUCGGUUGAAACUUGAAGGUUUUUAGAUUUUGGUUUUGUUUUCGAUGAAUAAUGUUUCUUAUUUUAUAUAUUUAUCUUUCGUUUGAUUUUGAAUGAUCAUAUUGGAUGUUCCUUUCUUAUUUUUGAAUCGAUUUUGCUUAUGUUUUAGUUACAAAAUAGGUACAAAACGGGUAUUAUAAAACCAAAUAACCGAUUUUACUUAUGUUUUUGGUUACAAAUAGAUACAAAUCAUGUAUUUUUAAACCGAAGAACCGAUUGGGACCUGAAUCCAAAUUCUUUGAAAAUUAACUAACCCCAACCCGAACUUGAACCCGUCCCAAACCAAACUUUCAUAUAACCCGAAUGAGACUGAUUUAGAUAAAUCUAAAAAACUAAGACCCGAUUAGACAAAACCGAAAUCCCAUUGGAACCCAAAUGCCCAUGUCUAAUUUGUCUCAUCUCAUGGAUCUAGAAAAUCAUUCUCUCUCUCUAUCACAGCACUGAAAGAUGACAUUCAAAAGCUUCUCAGUUUUGGAUUAAUAUUUAACUAUUUACAGCAUUUGUAACAAGAAGAUUGUCUCUCAUCCCCUGGUUGAAUCUUCUACAAGAGGUUGAUUUUCAAACUAAGACGCUAGAAAAAAAAAUGAAAACUACGUUUGAAAUGCUUAAAGAAACUUCACAUUCUCAACAUAGUUGAGGUAGGUGUUUAGCCUCUUACCCUGAAACGCCUCCAUUCCUUGGAUUCCAACUUCUCUGAUCGUCUUGCUCUUGACAUUGUAGUAGAUGACACAGGAAGACACUCUUUGGAAACAGGGGGUCAAAACAAUUUCAUCUACACCAACCAUUCCAGCAAUAUCCAAUCUAUCCUCAACUACACCCUUCCAAACUGGUGGUAAUACGUAAACAUGCCUGGACCACUCAUGUUUUGCAACGUCUCGAAGAACCCACAGCUCAAAUCUUUUACAUGAUCGAGUAACAUAAUAAUCUUCCGACGACAUAAGAAAACCUAAUCUGCCAUUGUAGUUUGUCAGAGUUGUUGAAGGAUAUCUAUUGAAACGCCUCAAGAGGUUCACAAAGCUGAACUUCUCAGUCCUCAAAUCAAAACAAACUACCAUAGAUUCCACCGAAUAUCUGAUUUCUUUAGCUAUAUAGUACAAAACGCCACUGAUGCAGAUCCACUUACCAGAAGAAUAAUGUCGUAUGCAACAUUCGACCAACCUCCACGACAGUUUCUUGGUUCCUAAUGUCAGAACAUGAAACUCCUUACCAUCAUCACAUGCAGACAACACCUUGAACUGUUUUGCAAUGGGGUCAUAUCCAAGAUAGCUUUCCGCUUCAACCCUGAUCCUCGUUUUCAAUCUUGGUAAGGUCAAGGACUGUCCUGUGCUGGGGUUACAUAUCACCGUGACAAUCCAUCGAUUAUUCCACCCCUUCAAGAUCCGUUCAGCCCCAUAACAGAAGAAGCCAUUGGUACAACCAAACAGUUUAUAGUAACGUGGGGAACGUGCAAUAUGAUUGGUGGCUACGACAUACGAGUUGUCUUCAAGAUUUUCAGGCUGAGGCGACGAGAAGAAGUGUAUCUCGCUGCGACCUUCGCAUGCAAAGAGAAGCUGAGGACGACGAGCACAAGAUUUGGUCAAGAACAGCUCUGUGAAAUCUUGACUGCGGAUCACGGAGGACCAGAGCUUGCAUACGCAAUGGCAUCUCGCUAUGGACUUCGACGGCAACCUCGAGAGUAUCUCUGUAACAACCUCAACAGGAAGCGUCAAUGAGUUACGAUCAAGCGUGGUCGUUGAUCGCGUAACGCGGCGAGAAAUGCUUAGACCACCCUUCAUGAAGGAGUAUGUUCCCUUACGGACGCUCUUUGAGAAAAGACAUUAAAAUUACAUUACUAACCUGAAACACAAACAUUCUAGAACCAACCAAAACUCCAAACAAAUGUUCGAUUGCAUCCAGAAACUAAAUACAGUUCUAGAACAUAGCCAGAGAUGAUGUCACAUUUACCAGAUGAACGAUCGAGAUGAAACAACAAUCUACCAAAACAACAAUUAUGUUUUCAGCAUUUCUUACCUCGAAUUCACUGUCACUAGGUUGAAUUUUUGGACUGGAUUUUGCAGAAGAACAAUCGUAAAUUGCAGUUAUGGUUUAGAACUAUCCCCAAAUCAUUGGUCGGGGAAGAUAAAAGAGAGUGCUGUAAUAAUAUAUAUUUAGCGGGUUUAGAAUAUCAAUUUAUACAAUGGGUUUGACCUGAACUUUAUUUUAAAAAAAGUCGAAUUGCUAUUUAAUUCUACUCAUUUUAUCGACAAGGACAAGAUAAAAAAAAGGAGCGACGUGUCUUAGUCGAAUCGGUGCUGGACCACCGUACCACCGCCGAGCAUCACCACGUAGCAUUCAAAGAUAACAUAAGCUUGUCUGUUUUUUAUGAGUAUUUACAUUUGUAAAGAGUUUGUAACAAUAAGAUUAACAUCCACAACAGGUGGGCUUUUUCAAACUAAGGUACUAGAAAAAAUAGGAAACACACAAAAUGAAAUAGGUGUUGAAAAUUUUAAACUGAUCUUCUUUAAUGGAUUAGACUAUACUUCUAUAUGUAAAACAAAUCAAUCUUAGCUGUAAAUUUUUAGUUUAUGGAUUUCUAUAUAAACUAAACUUAAAUAGGAGAUUUUAGCAUUAAAAUUCUUAAAAUUCAAUCAAAUAUGAUGUAAAAAUUAUAAUUUAAAUUUUCAAAAAUUAGCAUUUCAAACAAAUUACGCAGAUAAAUAAACUAUAUUUGCUUCAAAAUCUACACUACUAGUACUUAAAAUACAUUUUAGUUUUCUUUCUUCUAAAUUGCAUGCUUAUUAUAAAUUUAUAUAUGAUUCACAUAAUGUUGCAUUCAAACUGGUCUGUCUUGGACUUCACGGUUCAAACCUCGGAGUUGUAUGCUCUAAUGAAUCACAACAUCUUCAUUUCUUAAUAAUAAUCGUCCAUUCUGCGAGUUCUUUGAGUCGGCCUCUUUAGCUUUUGAUUAAGUUUGCACAUUUUUCCAAUUGUCAAGUACGAACGAUUAAACAAUUGGGAUCAUCUUGCUUCUUAAUAGUUAAAUCAUCAUCAUCAUCUAUAGCUUUUCCUUCAGCUUCUUAAUUUUGUACCUUUUCUCGAUGAUCUCUUACAAGUAUUGUCUUAUGAUAAGACACUCAGAGAUUGUAACUCAAGAUUAUACUCCACACAAACCAAAACAGCACAAGAAAUAUAGAUGUACAACUUGUGAAUUAUCAUAUCACCUACAAGGGUCUGGACAAACAUCAUUCUCUGGCAAGCUUAAGAAAACUUGUGCUCUCUCUAUUACAUCAUUUUGUAACAAGAAGAUUGUCUAUCAUACCCUUGUUGAAUCUUCUACAAAAGGUAGAUUUUUUUAACUAAGAAACACACUCCAAAUGAAUACUACACUUGAUCUCACUUGAAAUGCUUAAAGAAGCUUCACAUUCUCAACAUAGUUGAGAUAGGUGUUUAAUCUCCUACCCUGAAGCGCCUCCAUUCCUUGGAUUCCAACUUUUCUGAUCGUCUUGCUCUCCACAUUGUAGUAGAUAACAUAGGAAGGCACGUACUGGAACCAGGGGGCCAAAACGAUUUCAUUUACACCAACCAUUCCAGCAAUACACAUUCUGUCCACAAUAACAUCCUUCCACAGUG